GACGAACGCUGGCGGCGUGCUUAACACAUGCAAGUCGUACGGUAAGGCCCUUUCGGUGGUACACGAGUGGCGAACGGGUGAGUAACACGUGAGUAACCUGCCCACAACUUUGGGAUAACGCUAGGAAACUGGUGCUAAUACUGGAUAUGUGCUCCUGCUGCAUGGUGGGGGUUGGAAAGCUCCGGCGGUUGUGGAUGGACUCGCGGGCUAUCAGCUUGUUGGUGGGGUAGUGGCCUACCAAGGCGGCGACGGGUAGCCGGCCUGAGAGGGUGACCGGCCACAUUGGGACUGAGAUACGGCCCAGACUCCUACGGGAGGCAGCAGUGGGGAAUAUUGCACAAUGGGCGCAAGCCUGAUGCAGCAACGCCGCGUGCGGGAUGACGGCCUUCGGGUUGUAAACCGCUUUCAGCAGGGACGAAGCUUUUUGUGACGGUACCUGCAGAAGAAGCACCGGCUAACUACGUG
rnacentral:rRNA from 1 species